rnacentral:rRNA from 1 species
GAUCCUGGCUCAGAACGAACGCUGGCGGCAGGCUUAACACAUGCAAGUUGAACGGGAUUUGUAUGGUGCUUGCACCAUGUAAUGAGAGUAGCGCACUGGUGAGUAACACGUGGGAACAUACCUUGAAGUGGGGGACAACAGUUGGAAACGACUGCUAAUACCGCAUAAUCCCUGAGGGGGAAAGAUUUAUCGCUUUAAGAUUGGCCCGCGGAAGAUUUAGGGUAGUUGGUGGGGUAAAGGCCUACCAAGCCGACG